GUUCUCUGCAAAAGGUGUUCUCUGCAAAAGGUGUUCUCUGCAAAAGGUGUUCUGCCCCUUUUCUUUGGCAACACAGAAAGGAGUAUUCUACGUUGUGAGGAAUAUAA